UAUAUAGUGGGCUUGUUCUCUAAUUCUUCAUUCAUCCACUCUCUCUCUCUCUCUCUUUACACAAGUGCUUUGGGGUUUGUUGAAGCUCUACUCCAUCAGGAAAAAAAUGGAACCGAUUCUUAGGCGCACUGACAAAAUGAUGGAGGGCAUCGAGGAUUGUUUUGAUGCCCUUACUGACCAGGUGAAUAUAAUAGAUGCGCAGAGAGAUCUCCUGGAACGUCACCAAGAGUUGAGUGACCGAUUGGAAGCUGUGGCACGGAGACUGGAGAGAAUGAUCAGUGGUGUCUUGGCCUCGUUUCAUAUUGAUGCUGAUCAAUAUGUCACUCCUCCCAAUUCUCCACCAAUCUUUCUUUAGGCUGUUUGUUGUUGUUUUCUAGUUGGUGUUUGUUCUAGUGUGGGUGUAUGGUAGAUGUUUGUCCUAGUUAGUGCUUGUUCUAGUAUGGACUUAUGGUAGAUAUGUGUUUGUUCUUGUUGGUGCUCUUAUGGUAGUGGUGUUUGUUUUUGCUGGUGCUUUUGGAAACCCCCAACCCCCUUAUGUUUUUGAAUGUAAAUAUUCCUAAGAGGAAGUUAUGCAAUCCUAUGUUCCUAUAUAUUUGUCCUGCUAUUAAUAUUAUAGUAACUUGAUGUUGGUUGAA